CCUGGGCAACAGAGCAAGAGUCUGUCAAAAUAAAAAAGAAGAAAAAAAGAAGAAAGAUUUUAAUUAUUUUUAUCAACAAUUAUACAUUUUCUCUACUGUUAUGAAUUGCCACAACUUGGAGGCUUAGAACAACACAAAUUAGUACUCUCACAGUCCUGAAGGCUACAGCUCUGCAAUCAAGAUAUCAGCAAGGCCAUCAUUCCACUAAGGCUCUAAGGAAGAAUCCAUUUUUGCCUCUUCCUGCUUCUGGGAUGCAUCCACUUUAUUAGACGGCAAACUAGAAAAUGCUUCCUACAGUCGCCACAUAAAAAAAUCUUGUGUGCAUCAUGGAAUCCUAAACGAAGAAUUAUCAUCAUGCCAAACAAAUUAUCAUCGGUGCCAAUGAUGUGAGAAUUGAGCAGAAAGAGCAAUGCAACAGGUUUUCUUUUCUGGCCAUGCCAAGGUGGAAGGUGAUCUUAAUUGAAGAAAGAAUGCUCAAAGUAGGUAUGUGCAGUUUCAGAAGUACAGCUAUAUAAUAUCCGCUAUGCCUUGUCCAGUAACCCUCUCCUUAAUCCUGGCUCUCACGUGGAUUGUCCUUCCUAUAUUAUAAUCCUCCACAUGUCUUUCCUUUACAGAGUUAAUCCCGAAUUACGUAUUUCAAAUAUCUAAUAUAGUUGUGUUAGAAAAAGAAAUUCUCAAGUUCUGAGAUUAUGGAAUAUCCUGAAAGAAUGCUAAAGCAACUAUACCCCUUAAAGAAAGAUCAUUAUCAACUUGUAGAAAACUAAUCCUAUAGUGUGGUGAGAAUUUUUGGCAGUCAUAUUGCACCACUCUCAUACUUUUAACAAUGCAUUUGUGAGAACCACCUACAAUAAAAAUAUGGCAAUAAGAUUAGCAACUAGUGUUAUUUGUUAUAUUUUCGGCAAUGCUAUGUCUUAUCAACAAAUACUUACCAGCAUGUACAUUGCUGCUCAGAAACACAUUUGAUGAUGGAUCAGAAGUUUCCUCCUAUUUAAUGUGGUGAUAAAAAUAACUUCUAAGUAAUUCAGUUCAUAGAACCAUGAAGGACUGGGUUUGAGAUUAUGCUUUGAAUACCAUAAAGUGAUGAACACAGAGACUGAGAAAAAAAGAGGAGGAGAAGGAGUGGAAGGAUAAAUCUUUUUUUCUGGCAAGUAAGUGGACGUAGCCUUGGGACCCAAGAGGGUGGCACCAGGCCAGUUUUAUACUCAUUCUGGACAUGUGCAGCAGAUGGCAUGGCAGCUACUCCAUUUACACUGCAAUGAUCCCAUUAUCAUUUUAUUUUUCUUGGCACUGGGAUAACGUAUAAGGGGCAUCUCUGGUGAGUCAAGGUAGAGUAAAGCUUGUGAUCCAUUGAUUUAACUGGACAAUAGAAGACAAGACCAGAAAUAAACAUGACAUAGUGUAAAGGUAAAGAAAAUGUGAAGAAAACGGGUGGGGCAGUAGGAGACACUGAAUUCACAUAUCAUUGAAAACCAAAAUAUUAGAAGAGCUUAAGUUUUAAAGAAUGCUGGCAAAUGUUUAAGCGAUCAGCACUGCUGGUUUACUAUAAACAUAAUGGACUACACGUUGAGUACCUUGACAUAUGAGUAAAUUCAUAUAGUACAAAUCAUUCAACACACAUAUCUUGAGAACAAGUGAGAAGACAGCCAUCUGCAAACCAGAGAGAAAGUCCUCAUAAGGAACUGAAUCAAACUUCACCUUGAUCUUGGGCUUCCCAGCCUUUGCAACUGUGAGAAAUAAAUGUGUCUUUAUGCC
rnacentral:lncRNA from 1 species